rnacentral:rRNA from 1 species
CACGUAGGCGGAUAUUUAAGUCAGGGGUGAAAUCCCAGAGCUCAACUCUGGAACUGCCUUUGAUACUGGGUAUCUUGAGUAUGGAAUAGGUAAGUGGAAUUCCGAGUGUAGAGGUGAAAUUCGUAGAUAUUCGGAGGAACACCAGUGGCGAAGGCGGCUUACUGGUCCAUUACUGACGCUGAGGUGCGAAAGCGUGGGGAGCAAACA